CUGCAGGAUGACCUCGUUUCUGAAAUGUAAUUUUUCAUUUUCUGUCUCAUUUUGGGAGACUACAUUGUUUUAGUUGUGUACUUGGCAAUUUAGAGGAAGUAAUGAGACCUCCUGUGAAAUGAGGAAGCUGAAUUCCAGCGAGCUUUAGACAAGAGAUCUGCGUUCAGCACUACAGAAAUGAGUCAGCACAGCAGGAGUUUCUGUAAGAGUUUAUCCUGGUUAUCCUCAGGAUUAGAAGUGCUGCAGUUUGGAGAUGUAGAUGGUUUCUAAUUACAGGAUCAGAGGAGUGAGAGUGGUCUCUGACUCACUGGUAAAUGUGUGUUUGCUUUUGCUGCCUCUCUGGUGCUGUUGCCAGCAGAUGUCUCUCUUGAUUAUUGCACAGCACUGGAUUGAAAUCUGAUUUACUGCUCAUGGACAGCAGGGGUGUGCUUCACUGCAGCCCUCCCAAGGAGCUGCAGUCCUGCUCUGUGCAGGAAUGUAC
rnacentral:lncRNA from 1 species